rnacentral:misc_RNA from 1 species
AAAGUCGUAACAAGGUUUCCGUAGGUGAACCUGCGGAAGGAUCAUUACAAUAUAACAAGGGUGGCGGCUUCGGCCAAAGCCCAUGUGCACGCAAGUGUACCCUUUGUGAACCUCCUGGUUUCUUUGGCGAUGUCAAAUUGACUCGUCAAAAAUUAACUCUGAUAAUCUGAUAAAGUCUGAGUUUUAUUCAAUAAAUAAAAACUUUCAACAACGGAUCUCUUGGUUCCA